CAGAAAUAAAAAUGAUCUAUCACUUGUAUUUUAUUAGGAAAGAAGUCUUAUUCAUGGUGAAAUUCUUGGAACUUUCUUUGGACUGCAGUGACAUCUACAGCUGGGUGAAUCAUGACCUUCAUACUCUGAGGUCUUUAAAGAAACAAAUGAAUUGCCCUGACACCACUUCCAGAUCCUGGACUAAGAAUGAAAAGAUUCCUCAUACUGUGCCACUGUGUUCAGUUAAAAUCAAGAAGAUGAACACUAAUAAGAACAGUGGGUCAUUUCUCUGGACUUUGCAGUCUUCCACAUUAUGCAUGAAUCUAUCCUACAGCCAUUUGGAGAAGCACUAGGAGCAAAUGAGCUAUGAGUCAUGGGAAGAAGAAAAGACAUGUCACAAAUAUUGAAAUUAAAUGCAAAAGAAAAUGACAAAUACUGGAAAUGUGAGUUGCCUAACAAGCGACAGAUAGUAGAACGAGGCAAAUGCUGGAAAUGGUAAGUAAUACAUGAAGACAAACACUGGGAAGAAAACACGGUAAAAUAAAAGAAUGGAAACAAUACA
rnacentral:lncRNA from 1 species